rnacentral:rRNA from 1 species
CCUACGAGCGGCAGCAGUGGGGAAUAUUGCGCAAUGGGGGAAACCCUGACGCAGCAACGCCGCGUGAGUGAAGAAGGCCUUCGGGUUGUAAAGCUCUUUAAUCAGGGACGAAGAAUGACGGUACCUGAAGAAUAAGCUCCGGCUAACUACGUGCCAGCAGCCGCGGUAAUACGUAGGGAGCAAGCGUUAUCCGGAUUUACUGGGUGUAAAGGGCGUGUAGGCGGGCUUGCAAGUCAGAAGUGAAAUCUGGGGGCUUAACCCCCAAACUGCUUUUGAAACUGUGGGUCUUGAGUGAUGGAGAGGCAGGCGGAAUUCCCAGUGUAGCGGUGAAAUGCGUAGAUAUUGGGAGGAACACCAGUGGCGAAGGCAGCAUACCGGCGCCCAACUGACGCUGAAGCACGAAAGCGUGGGUAUCGAACAGGAUUAGAUACCCGAGUAGUC